UGGGGAAUAUUGCACAAUGGGGGAAACCCUGAUGCAGCAACGCCGCGUGAGUGAAGAAGUAUUUCGGUAUGUAAAGCUCUAUCAGCAGGGAAGAAAAAAGACGGUACCUGACUAAGAAGCCCCGGCUAACUACGUGCC
rnacentral:rRNA from 1 species